rnacentral:rRNA from 1 species
UGCGACCGGAACGUAUUUAUUAGAUAUUAGACCAAUCGCAGAAAUGUGAUUGAGAUGAAUCAAAGUAACUGAUCGAAUCGAGGCUUGCUUCGAUAAAUCAUCUAAGUUUCUGCCCUAUCAGCUCUCGAUGGUAGUGUAUUGGACUACCAUGGCAGUCACGGGUAACGGAGAAUUAGGGUUCGAUUCCGGAGAAGGAGCCUGAGAAACGGCUACUACAACUACGGUUCGGCAGCAGGGAAGAAAAUUGGCCAAUCCUAAUUCAGGGAGCCAGUGACAAGAAAUAGCAAGCUGGGAAACCUAGUUUCUACGGCAUUGAAAUGAGAAAAGUGUUAAUCUCUUAGCGAGGAACAAUUGGAGGGCAAGUCAUGGUGCCAGCAGCCGCGGUAAUUCCAGCUCCAAUAGCGUAUAUUAAAGUUGUUGCAGUUAAAAAGCUCGUAGUUGAACUUCUGUUCAGGUUUAUAACGACUCGUCGUGUAAAACUGGACAUACGUUUGCAAACUAAAAUCGGCCUUUACUGGUUCGACUUAGGGAGUAAACAUUUUACUGUGAAAAAAUUAGAGUGUUCCAGGCAGGUUUUAGCCCGAAUACAUUAGCAUGGAAUAAUGGAAUAGGACUAAGUCCAUUUUAUUGGUUCUUGGAUUUGGUAAUGAUUAAUAGGGACAGUUGGGGGCAUUAGUAUUUAAUAGUCAGAGGUGAAAUUCUUGGAUUUAUUAAGGACUAACUAAUGCGAAAGCAUUUGCCAAAGAUGUUUUCAUUAAUCAAGAACGAAAGUUAGGGGAUCAAAGACGAUCAGAUACCGUCGUAGUCUUAACUAUAAACUAUACCGACUCGGGAUCGGCUGGAAUAAAUGUCCAGUCGGCACCGUAUGAGAAAUCAAAGUCUUUGGGUUCUGGGGGAAGUAUGGUACGCAAGUSUGAAACUUAAAGGAAUUGACGGAACAGCACACCAGAAGUGGAACCUGCGGCUUAAUUUGACUCAACACGGGGAAACUCACGAGCGCAAGACAGAGAAGGGAUUGACAGAUUGAGAGCUCUUUCUUGAUUCUUUGGGUGGUGGUGCAUGGCCGUUCUUAGUUGGUGGAGUGAUUUGUCUGGUUAAUUCCGUUAACGAACGAGACCUUAACCUGCUAACUAGUCUGCUUGUGAACAACAGGUUGUACUUCUUAGAGGGACUAUUGUGCAAGAAGCCAAUGGAAGUUUAAGGCAAUAACAGGUCUGUGAUGCCCCUAGACGUGCUCGGCCGCACGCGCGUUACAAUGACUGGCGCAGAAAGUAUUUCCUGUCCUGGGAAGGUACGGGUAAUCUUAUUAAUACCAGUCGUGUUAGGGAUAGUUCUUUGGAAUUGUGGAUCUUGAACGAGGAAUUUCUAGUAAGUGCAAGUCAUCA